rnacentral:rRNA from 1 species
UACGUAGGGUGCAAGCGUUGUCCGGAAUCAUUGGGCGUAAAGCGCGCGUAGGCGGCCCUGUAAGUCCGUUGUGAAAGUCAAAGGCUCAACCUUUGAAAGCCGAUGGAUACUGCAGGGCUAGAGUCCGGAAGAGGCGAGUGGAAUUCCUGGUGUAGCGGUGAAAUGCGCAGAUAUCAGGAGGAACACCAAUUGCGAAGGCAGCUCGCUGGGACGUUACUGACGCUGAGACGCGAAAGCGUGGGGAGCAAACAGG